CGGGACACGUGGUAUCCUGUCUGAAUAUGGGGGGACCAUCCUCCAAGGCUAAAUACUCCUGACUGACCGAUAGUGAACCAGUACCGUGAGGGAAAGGCGAAAAGAACCCCGGCGAGGGGAGUGAAAAAGAACCUGAAACCGUGUACGUACAAGCAGUGGGAGCACGCUUAGGCGUGUGACUGCGUACCUUUUGUAUAAUGGGUCAGCGACUUAUAUUCUGUAGCAAGGUUAACCGAAUAGGGGAGCCGAAGGGAAACCGAGUCUUAACUGGGCGUUAAGUUGCAGGGUAUAGACCCGAAACCCGGUGAUCUAGCCAUGGGCAGGUUGAAGGUUGGGUAACACUAACUGGAGGACCGAACCGACUAAUGUUGAAAAAUUAGCGGAUGACUUGUGGCUGGGGGUGAAAGGCCAAUCAAACCGGGAGAUAGCUGGUUCUCCCCGAAAGCUAUUUAGGUAGCGCCUCGUGAAUUCAUCUCCGGGGGUAGAGCACUGUUUCGGCAAGGGGGUCAUCCCGACUUACCAACCCGAUGCAAACUGCGAAUACCGGAGAAUGUUAUCACGGGAGACACACGGCGGGUGCUAACGUCCGUCGUGAAGAGGGAAACAACCCAGACCGCCAGCUAAGGUCCCAAAGUCAUGGUUAAGUGGGAAACGAUGUGGGAAGGCCCAGACAGCCAGGAUGUUGGCUUAGAAGCAGCCAUCAUUUAAAGAAAGCGUAAUAGCUCACUGGUCGAGUCGGCCUGCGCGGAAGAUGUAACGGGGCUAAACCAUGCACCGAAGCUGCGGCAGCGACGCUGAUGCGUUGUUGGGUAGGGGAGCGUUCUGUAAGCCUGUGAAGGUGUGCUGUGAGGCAUGCUGGAGGUAUCAGAAGUGCGAAUGCUGACAUAAGUAACGAUAAAGCGGGUGAAAAGCCCGCUCGCCGGAAGACCAAGGGUUCCUGUCCAACGUUAAUCGGGGCAGGGUGAGUCGACCCCUAAGGCGAGGCCGAAAGGCGUAGUCGAUGGGAAACAGGUUAAUAUUCCUGUACUUGGUGUUACUGCGAAGGGGGGACGGAGAAGGCUAUGUUGGCCGGGCGACGGUUGUCCCGGUUUAAGCGUGUAGGCUGGUUUUCCAGGCAAAUCCGGAAAAUCAAGGCUGAGGCGUGAUGACGAGGCACUACGGUGCUGAAGCAACAAAUGCCCUGCUUCCAGGAAAAGCCUCUAAGCAUCAGGUAACAUCAAAUCGUACCCCAAACCGACACAGGUGGUCAGGUAGAGAAUACCAAGGCGCUUGAGAGAACUCGGGUGAAGGAACUAGGCAAAAUGGUGCCGUAACUUCGGGAGAAGGCACGCUGAUAUGUAGGUGAAGCGACUUGCUCGUGGAGCUGAAAUCAGUCGAAGAUACCAGCUGGCUGCAACUGUUUAUUAAAAACACAGCACUGUGCAAACACGAAAGUGGACGUAUACGGUGUGACGCCUGCCCGGUGCCGGAAGGUUAAUUGAUGGGGUCAGCGCAAGCGAAGCUCUUGAUCGAAGCCCCGGUAAACGGCGGCCGUAACUAUAACGGUCCUAAGGUAGCGAAAUUCCUUGUCGGGUAAGUUCCGACCUGCACGAAUGGCGUAAUGAUGGCCAGGCUGUCUCCACCCGAGACUCAGUGAAAUUGAACUCGCUGUGAAGAUGCAGUGUACCCGCGGCAAGACGGAAAGACCCCGUGAACCUUUACUAUAGCUUGACACUGAACAUUGAGCCUUGAUGUGUAGGAUAGGUGGGAGGCUUUGAAGUGUGGACGCCAGUCUGCAUGGAGCCGGCCUUGAAAUACCACCCUUUAAUGUUUGAUGUUCUAACGUUGACCCGUGAUCCGGGUUGCGGACAGUGUCUGGUGGGUAGUUUGACUGGGGCGGUCUCCUCCUAAAGAGUAACGGAGGAGCACGAAGGUUGGCUAAUCCUGGUCGGACAUCAGGAGGUUAGUGCAAUGGCAUAAGCCAGCUUGACUGCGAGCGUGACGGCGCGAGCAGGUGCGAAAGCAGGUCAUAGUGAUCCGGUGGUUCUGAAUGGAAGGGCCAUCGCUCAACGGAUAAAAGGUACUCCGGGGAUAACAGGCUGAUACCGCCCAAGAGUUCAUAUCGACGGCGGUGUUUGGCACCUCGAUGUCGGCUCAUCACAUCCUGGGGCUGAAGUAGGUCCCAAGGGUAUGGCUGUUCGCCAUUUAAAGUGGUACGCGAGCUG
rnacentral:rRNA from 1 species